GACGAACGCUGGCGGCGUGCCUAAUACAUGCAAGUUGAGCGCUGAAGGUAGGUACUUGUACCAACUGGAUGAGCAGCGAACGGGUGAGUAACGCGUGGGGAAUCUGCCUUUGAGCAGGGGACAACAUUUGGAAACGAAUGCUAAUACCGCAUAAAAACUUUAAACACAAGUUUUAAGUUUGAAAGAUGCAAUUGCAUCACUCAAAGAUGAUCCCGCGUUGUAUUAGCUAGUUGGUGAGGUAAAGGCUCACCAAGGCGAUGAUACAUAGCCGACCUGAGAGGGUGAUCGGCCACAUUGGGACUGAGACACGGCCCAAACUCCUACGGGAGGCAGCAGUAGGGAAUCUUCGGCAAUGGACGAAAGUCUGACCGAGCAACGCCGCGUGAGUGAAGAAGGUUUUCGGAUCGUAAAACUCUGUUGGUAGAGAAGAACGUUGGUGAGAGUGGAAAGCUCACCAAGUGACGGUAACUACCCAGAAAGGGACGGCUAACUACGUG
rnacentral:rRNA from 1 species